rnacentral:rRNA from 1 species
UACAGAGGUCUCAAGCGUUGUUCGGAUUCAUUGGGCGUAAAGGGUGCGUAGGCGGCGAGGUAAGUCGGAUGUGAAAUCCCGGGGCUCAACCCCGGAACUGCAUUCGAUACUGCUUUGCUUGAGUACUGGGAGAGGAGACUGGAAUUUACGGUGUAGCAGUGAAAUGCGUAGAGAUCGUAAGGAAGACCAGUGGCGAAGGCGGUUCUCUGGGCAUGUCCUGACGCUGAGGAGCGAAAGUGUGGGGAGCGAACAGG